rnacentral:lncRNA from 1 species
GUGAUAACCUUUCAUUCUAGGUAGGGGUAGUUAAGAAAGUUGGUGUUAGUUUAAACUCGGAGAAGUUCAGGGCAUAUGAACGUUGAAAAUAUGCCGCACAGCCCUAUAUUUUGACCUUUGAAAAAAAUUGAAGUGCAUAUGAACUUUCAAUUGUAGGAUAAGAUUUGUUUUCAAAACUUCAUAGUAAAAGUGGUACAGUUUUAGCCGUAAAAGGAGUUCCUAUGGGAACUUGCAUUCAAUUUGUCGAUAUUUACAGAAAUGCAACCUUUAACGUUUC